rnacentral:rRNA from 1 species
GACGAACGCUGGCGGCGUGCUUAACACAUGCAAGUCGAACGGAAAGGCCCUGCUUGCAGGGUGCUCGAGUGGCGAACGGGUGAGUAACACGUGGGUGAUCUGCCCCUUACUUUGGGAUAAGCCUGGGAAACUGGGUCUAAUACUGGAUAGGACCAUGCUGUAGGUGGUGUGGUGGAAAGAUUAGUUUCGGUAAGGGAUGAGCUCGCGGCCUAUCAGCUUGUUGGUGGGGUAAUGGCCUACCAAGGCGUCGACGGGUAGCCGGCCUGAGAGGGUGGACGGCCACAUUGGGACUGAGAUACGGCGCAGACUCCUGCGGGAGGCAGCAGUGGGGAAUAUUGCACAAUGGGCGCAAGCCUGAUGCAGCGACGCCGCGUGGGGGAUGACGGCCUUCGGGUUGUAAACUCCUUUCAGCCAUGACGAAGCCCUUGUGGUGACGGUAGUGGUAGAAGAAGCACCGGCUAACUACGUG